rnacentral:rRNA from 1 species
GAUGAACGCUGGCGGCGUGCCUAAUACAUGCAAGUCGAGCGAACGGACGAGAAGCUUGCUUCUCUGAUGUUAGCGGCGGACGGGUGAGUAACACGUGGAUAACCUACCUAUAAGACUGGGAUAACUUCGGGAAACCGGAGCUAAUACCGGAUAAUAUUUUGAACCGCAUGGUUCAAAAGUGAAAGACGGUCUUGCUGUCACUUAUAGAUGGAUCCGCGCUGCAUUAGCUAGUUGGUAAGGUAACGGCUUACCAAGGCAACGAUGCAUAGCCGACCUGAGAGGAUGAUGAGCAACAGUGGAACUGAGACACGGUCAAGAGUCCUACGGGAGGCAGCAGUGGGGAAUAUUGGACAAUGGGCGCAAGCCUGAUCAAGAAAUAACGAGUGGGUGAAGAAGGCGUUACGGUUGGAAAGACCUUUUGUGGGUAAAGAAAAGAAGCAGGCUAAGAAACCGCUGUUCUGACGGUACCCAAAGAAUAAGCAACGGCUAACUUCGUG